UACGUAGGGGGCUAGCGUUGUCCGGAUUUAUUGGGCGUAAAGAGCUCGUAGGCGGUGUGUCACGUCGGCCGUGAAAACCUGCAGCUUAACUGUGGGCGUGCGGUCGAUACGGGAUAGCUAGAGGUAGGUAGGGGAGAUUGGAAUUCCUGGUGUAGCGGUGAAAUGCGCAGAUAUCAGGAGGAACACCAAUUGCGAAGGCAGCUCGCUGGAACGUAACUGACGCUGAGACGCGAAAGCGUGGGGAGCAAACAGG
rnacentral:rRNA from 1 species